rnacentral:rRNA from 1 species
GAUGAACGCUGGCGGCGUGCCUAAUACAUGCAAGUCGAGCGAACAGACGAGGAGCUUGCUCCUCUGACGUUAGCGGCGGACGGGUGAGUAACACGUGGAUAACCUACCUAUAAGACUGGGAUAACUUCGGGAAACCGGAGCUAAUACCGGAUAAUAUAUUGAACCGCAUGGUUCAAUAGUGAAAGACGGUUUUGCUGUCACUUAUAGAUGGAUCCGCGCCGCAUUAGCUAGUUGGUAAGGUAACGGCUUACCAAGGCAACGAUGCGUAGCCGACCUGGGAGGGUGAUCGGCCACACUGGAACUGAGACACGGUCCAGACUCCUACGGGAGGCAGCAGUAGGGAAUCUUCCGCAAGGGGCGAAAGCUUGACGGAGCAACGCCGCGUGAGUGAUGAAGGUCUUCGGAUCGUAAAACUCUGUUAUUAGGGAAGAACAAAUGUGUAAGUAACUAUGCACGUCUGGACGGUACCUAAUCAGAAAGCCACGGCUAACUACGU